rnacentral:rRNA from 1 species
GAUGAACGCUGGCGGCGUGCCUAAUACAUGCAAGUCGAGCGAAUGGAUUAAGAGCUUGCUCUUAUGAAGUUAGCGGCGGACGGGUGAGUAACACGUGGGUAACCUGCCCAUAAGACUGGGAUAACUCCGGGAAACCGGGGCUAAUACCGGAUAACAUUUUGAACCGCAUGGUUCGAAAUUGAAAGGCGGCUUCGGCUGUCACUUAUGGAUGGACCCGCGUCGCAUUAGCUAGUUGGUGGGGUAACGGCUCACCAAGGCAACGAUGCGUAGCCGACCUGGGAGGGUGAUCGGCCACACUGGGACUGAGAACCGGCCCAGACUCCUACGGGAGGCAGCAGUAGGGAAUCUUCCGAAAUGGACGAAAGUCUGACGGAGCAACGCCGCGUGAGUGAUGAAGGCUUUCGGGUCGUAAAACUCUGUUGUUAGGGAAGAACAAGUGCUAGUUGAAUAAGCUGGCACCUUGACGGUACCUAACCAGAAAGCCACGGCUAACUACGUGCCAGCCGCCGCGGUAA